AAGCAGAUGAGAGAUCUAGCACCACAGGGCUUCACGAGCAAGGCAUUAGGCAGCUGGUAAACUUCCCCAGAUCCUGAGCAGUCUCUGGUGUCACCACCUUCCCCUUCACCCCCAGGACCCAGCUCUUCCCCCCUGGAGCACAGCCAGACCCUUCAGUGGCACUCCGAGGGAGAAGAAGAGAUUGGGAGAGAGGCUGGCUCUGACACUCGCGCCACGUAACAGCGCUUCAGAGAAAAGGCCAGCUCCCCUGUGCUCUGCAGCCAGCACCGAGCACAUCCCAGCCUCGGCACCUGCUGGAACCCUCGGCAAAACAACCCAUGACAGCAACAAGGCCACAUCACCCAGCUGCCCUCCCGCUGCUCAGGAAGGACCAGGCUCUGGGCCAAGCUGUGGGGCAGGAAGGAAAUUUGCCUGUCUGAGGCUGAGCCCUGGGUGGUGGCCAGCAGCCCCAGAUGUGGGCACGGAGCAAUCGGGGGUCCUGCUCUCGGCCAUGGGGUUCUCACGUGCUCCACAGCUUUCCCAUGGAUAUAAACCCAUUAAUAAAAGAUCAGUUUGGAGACACAGCUCGCUGUAGAUGACAGCAUUAGAGGCACAUCAGCUUCUCCUAAAGCUCAGUCUCGUGCUGGGUUUAUUUGGUCCAUUUGUGGCAGGGGAAGAGUUGCUUUCGGCAUUCAGAGAUGUCUUGUGUCUGGGAGAAGUAGCGGGGUGAGAUAUAUUUUUGGCUCUAUUUAGCCACAAAAAUUUGGAUUUAGAAUAAAGAGAAAUAUUCCUGUUUGCUGCCAAACUGAGGCAGACGAUUUCUUG